UACAGAGGGUGCAAGCGUUUGUUCGGAAUUAUUGGGCGUAAAGCGCGUGUAGGCGGCUUUGCAAGUCGGGUGUGAAAGCCCUCGGCUCAACCGAGGAAGUGCGCCCGAAACUGCAGAGCUUGAGUACCGGAGAGGAUGGCGGAAUUCCCCAAGUAGAGGUGAAAUUCGUAGAUAUGGGGAGGAACACCGGUGGCGAAGGCGGCCAUCUGGACGGAUACUGACGCUGAGACGCGAAAGCGUGGGGAGCAAACAGG
rnacentral:rRNA from 1 species